rnacentral:rRNA from 1 species
UUCCGGUUGAUCCCGCCGGACCUGACUGCUAUCGGAUUGAUACUAAGCCAUGCGAGUCUUUGCAGUAAUGCAAGGCAUACGGCUCAGUAACACGUAGUCAACUUACCCUAUGGACGAGGAUAAUCUCGGGAAACUGAGCAUAAUACUCGAUAGAUCAUAAUGCCUGGAAUGGUUUAUGGUUGAAACGAUUCGUCGCCAUAGGAUAGGACCGCGGCCUAUCAGCUUGUUGGUGAGGUAAUGGCCCACCAAGGCGAUUACGGGUACGGGCUCUGAGAGGAGAAGCCCGGAGAUGGGUACUGAGACAAGGACCCAGGCCCUAUGGGGCGCAGCAGGCGAGAAAACUUUGCAAUGUGCGAAAGCACGACAAGGUUAAUCCGAGUGAUUUCUGCUAAAGAAAUCUUUUGCAAGUCAUAAAACCACUAGUGAAUAAGGGGUGGGCAAGUUCUGGUGUCAGCCGCCGCGGUAAAACCAGCACCUCAAGUGGUCAGGAGGAUUAUUGGGCCUAAAGCAUCCGUAGCCGGCUCUGUAAGUUUUCGGUUAAAUCCAUGUGCUCAACGCAUGGGCUGUCGAAAAUACUGCAUAGCUAGGGAGUGGGAGAGGUAGACGGUACUCGGUAGGAAGGGGUAAAAUCCUUUGAUCUAUCGAUGACCACCUGUGGCGAAGGCGGGUCUAUAAGAAAACGUUCGACGGUGAGGGAUGAAAGCUGGGGGAGCAAACCGGGAUUAGAUACCCGGGUAGUCCCAGCUGUAAACGAUGCAGACUCGAUGAUGCAUUGGCAUAUAGCCAGUGCAGUGUCGCAGGGAAGCCGUUAAGUCUGCCGCCUGGGAGUACGUACGCAAGUAUGAAACUUAAAGGAAUUGGCGGGGGGAGCACACAAGGGGUGAGCUGGCGUUUCAAUUGAGUCAACGCCA